rnacentral:rRNA from 1 species
UACGUAGGGGGCGGGCGUUAUCCGGAUUCAUUGGGCGUAAAGCGCGCGUAGGCGGCCGCCUAAGCGGAACCUCUAACCCCGGGGCUCAACCUCGGGCCGGGUUCCGGACUGGGCGGCUCGAGUGCGGUAGAGGAGAGCGGAAUUCCCGGUGUAGCGGUGGAAUGCGCAGAUAUCGGGAAGAACACCGAUGGCGAAGGCAGCUCUCUGGGCCGUCACUGACGCUGAGGCGCGAAAGCUGGGGGAGCGAACAGG